CAUACUUGACUUGAAUUACUACAUAAACAUAUCAUGGCUUUCAUAUGAUUUUAGUAACAUUCAAUCAAUCAAACAAAUUCAUUCAUUCAAGCAUAAUCUCAUAUUUCAUCAAGAUCAUGAAAGGAAUUUAACCUUGACUUGUCUCUUAGUGUAGCAUAGAUAACUAUCAUAAGCACAUCAUAUUUUCAUACAUAACAAUAAUAUUCACAUUACGUAUGCAUUUAUAUGAUCAUACUAUUUACCUCUUAGCGUUGCUUCCUGACUUCCAAGUGGUAGCGCGUUACCUAUACGAGGUACACGACGUUACUAAUCUUCUAGGAAAAAGUGUCCUAACAUCCUUCCCACUUGAGCACAUAUCAUAAACUUUAAAUCUAAUAAAAUAUCUAGCUAUAUACUGAACUCAUUGAUUAAUCUCACUAUUUUAUGGCUACUAAAACAAUAAUAUCAUAUCUAGUUCUUUAAAUAUAAAAUAGUAGGAAAUAUCUACAUAUUAUGUAUUUUAUAAAAUAGCAAUGUAAUGAUUUCGCAACCCAGGUUUAAUAAUACUGUAGGCCCACAUUAGAAAACAGUCUAUUUAAAUAAUAUACUAGUUUCUGUAAAAUUGGGUCCAGCUUAUAACAUGGCCCGUGUAGAUAAUAGGCCUUCUUAGAGUUUUACAAGGCUCCUGGCCAAAAGGCUUAAGGCCUAGGGCCCACUCUAACAUCAGUAAUGUAAAAGCCUUAAGGGCUGAGAAAGAAAGGCUCCUGAGAGGAGCAUCGUGCAAUGGAAGGGGCAACUCACUGAGAGGAGAAAGCUGUUGCGUUGCAGCUCAAGGUGGCUAGAAGUGACUGGCGGCGCAACUGAGGGAGUCCUUAUGGGAGUGGGUGCGACGGGGCUAGGUUGACCGGCAGUUUCUGGCGUCGUGGGUGGUGCUCCGACGUCCUAAGGUGGUCAGCGGUGGCUGGGCAGAGACUAAGGCUUAUGCGAAAAGUGUGUUCUUCCCUUAGGUAUUUUUUUGUGUGUGUUUAAAACAGAGGGUUUACGUGGGAUUUUAUAGACGAUGAAGAGGGGAGUGGCGUGAGUCCUCAAUAGGUAUGCUAGGGUUUGAAGUUGGCUUCACUUGGAAAAUUAUUCUUAUGAGGAUAUGGAUUCUGAGAGGAUUUUGAAGAGUCAAGUUGUAGUUUCAAACUAGGAAACUAAUCUAAUAUGGAAAGUAAUGGAUAACCAUACAAGGUUUUGAUAGGGAAAAAAAUCACUAAUUUAAUCUAUCUGUUAGCAUAUUUCCUAAGAUGAUAAUAAAAGUAAAAUAAAUA